AUGCAUCAAACUAAGAUUGAUGUAAAGACACCAAGCACUGCCAUCAAGUUAGCACUUUUAAACAUUCGCUCACUAAAAAAUAAAUCAUUUCUAAUCAAUGACUUUAUAACCACAAACAAUCUGGAUUUUAUGUUUCUAAAUGAAACAUGGCUAGAAGACAGCUGCAGGGCAACAAUCCUAAAUGAAGCAGCCCCUCCUAACUUCACUUACAUGAGUGUUUGCAGGACUGUUAGGAGAGGUGGGGGUGUAGCUGCUCUAUUUAAAGAUGUCUAUCAAUGCAAGCAAGUGUCAUUUGGUCAGUACUUGUCCUUUGAAUAUCUAGGGAUUGUGCUGAAAGGUGCUCCAUGCAUUCUGUUUAUUAUUACUUACAGGCCUCCAAAAUACUCUCCAGCCUUUGUUGAAGAGGUCACAGAAAUGUUAUCAAUGAUUUCCUCAGAGUUUGACUGUUUUGCAAUAGCAGGGGAUUUUAAUAUUCACAUAGAUAAUGCAGAAAACAAAACUACAAAAGAAAUGAUAACGGUUCUAAACACUUUUGACUUGACUCAGCAUGUGCAUGGACCCACACACAAAGGUGGACACACUCUGGAUCUAAUCAUCAGUAGGGGUCUAAACAUUUCAUCCAUUGUUAUUAAGGACAUAGCACUAUCUGAUCACUUCAGUAUUUUCUUUGAUAUAUUGAUCUCUGCUACCACUGAAUCUAGAUCUGUCUCUGUCAGAAGGAGAUGCAUAAACGAGAACACAAGUGUACUAUUUAUGGAGGCUAUAUCUUUAACACCAAGCAUUUCUGCAGACUCUGUUGAUAUUCUCCUUGAUUCCUUCAACUCAAAAGUUAAGAAUGUUAUUGAUGAUAUUGCUCCAAUAAUAGUCAGUAAGAAAACAGACAGAGAGAAAUCAGUUUGGAGAAGAUCAACAGCAGUUCAGACUAUGAAAAGACAAUGCAGAAAAGCCGAGCGGAUGUGGAGGAAGACGAAACUUGAAAUUCACUAUAGCAUCUAUAAAGACAGCCUUCAUGCUUUUAAUGUGAAACUAGCCACAGCUCAAACCUUAUAA
ensembl:lncRNA